rnacentral:rRNA from 1 species
UUGACGGGGCCGCACAAGCGGUGGAGCAUUGUGGUUUAAUUCGAUGCAACGCGAAGAACCUUACCUGGGUUUGACAUAUAGGUUGUAGGGAACUGAAAGGGACCGACCCUUCGGGGAGCCUAUACAGGUGUUGCAUGGCUGUCGUCAGCUCGUGUCGUGAGAUGUUCGGUUAAGUCCGCUAACGAGCGCAACCCUCGUCGUAUGUUAUAUGUGUCAUACGAGACUGCCGGUAAAAGCCGGAGGAAGGUGAGGAUGAUGUCAAGUCAGCAUGACCUUUAUAUCCAGGGCUACACACACGCUACAAUGGUCUGUACAAUGGGUAGCCAAGCCGCGAGGCGGAGCCAAUCCUGAAAGCAGGCCUCAGUUCAGAUUGCAGUCUGCAACUCGACUGCAUGAAGCCGGAGUUGCUAGUAACCGCAGGUCAGCAAUACUGCGGUGAAUACGUUCCCGGGUCUU